CUGGUCAUGCCUGGUCAAUGAUGGUGGUUUUGAUUCUUAAAAAUGUUUGUUGCAAGGUUGGAAAUAGGACUCAGAGGUUAUGAGCACUGGCUUCAUUUCCAGAGGACUGGCUUUGAUUCCCAGUACCCACAGGGCAGCUCAUAACUGUCUGAACUCUAGUGCCAGGAGAGCCAACUCCCUCUUCUGGUUUCUGCAGGUACCAGGCUCGUGGGAGGUCCAGAAACAUACUCCCUGGCACAACACCCAUGCACAUAAAAUAAAAUAAUAAUAGUGUUUGUUGGGUGAACAUAAGGAGCAGUAUUUUUUUUUUAUUUUUUAUUGUAUCUAGUUAUUUUUGAGAAGCACAUGAAACAACACACUCGUGAAUGUCACAAACAGCCUGCAGGAGUCACUUUUCUCCUACCACAUUUCCUGGCUGAGAUAUCCUAACCAACUAUUCUCGUUACUUUGUUGCUGUGAUGCACACCAUGACCAAAAGCAGCUUGGGGAAGAUCGAGUUUAGAUAGCUUUCACUUACAGGUGAGGGAAGGAAAGGCAGGAACCUGGAGCAGGAGCCAUGGAGGAACACGGCUUACUGGCUUUCUCACUAGCUUAUGUUUAGCUAGCUUUCUUUUUUAAAUUGUUUCAAAUUUUUAUUUAUGUAUUUAUUUGAUGUGUGUGCAUGUGUCUGGUAGGGGUCCCCGUGGAGGCCAGAGAGGCCGUCAGAUCCUUUGGAGAUGCAAUUACAGGCACUUAUUUGUAAGCCACUUGAUGUGGAUGCUUUGACCUGAACUAUUGUCUUCAUGGCUUCGCAUCAAGUGCUCUUCAUAGCUGGGCCUUCUCUCCAGCCCCAUGGCUAGCUUUCGUAUACUGCCCAAACCCACCUGCAUAGGGAUGGUGCCACCCACAAUGGGCUCUGCCCUUCCAUAUCAGUCAUCAAUCAAGACAAUCUCUUACAGAUAGGGCCUCAGGCCAGUCUGAUCUGGCCAAUCCCUCGGUUGCAGGUCUCUCUGACUAUAGGAUGUGUCAAGUUGACAAUAAAAACCAACCAGGACAUGAACAUUAUUUCAAAGGGACAAAAGUCAGGCCUGCACAAAGAUUAAAAGCAGAGCUUAACCAACAAAGUUCUGUUUAAUUUUGCUGAGUUUAUUUCUCUCCUUUUUCAGACAGGAUCUUUCUGUUUUGCAGGAUGGUCUUCAUUUUACCAUCCUCUGCCUCAGCCUCUCAAAUGCUGGCAUAAAGCAUGAAUGGUGCUCCCAUGAACUCUCAACAAUGUGGCUGCCUGCCUAAGACCUGCAAAGACCACACCAACUGACAUGCCAACAUGGAUAGAGGGUUACACUCCACAGCGCAAACGAUCUAAGAGCAUGCUCCUUUACUUAUUUUCAACUGCAACAAAUGUGAGUGUGGUUACAUGUCUGAUGUAGAAAUGAAUCAAGCCAGGUACAGUAGUAGGUUUCGACUUGCUCUAAGCACCGUUUCCCUUCCUAAUUAGUUUGUCCUCUCUCUACAGUUAGAGGUGGUGCUCACAGUGCCUUGGAAUAUGCUUUUGAAUGUUUUGGUUUUCCAUGAAAAUGUUUACAGCACAGAAAAGCAGAGGGAGAGAAAAGAGCAAAGAUCAA